GACGGAGGAUGCAAGCGUUAUCCGGAAUGAUUGGGCGUAAAGCGUCCGCAGGUGGCAGUUCAAGUCUGCUGUCAAAGACCGGGGCUUAACUUCGGAAAGGCAGUGGAAACUGAACAGCUAGAGUAUGGUAGGGGCAGAGGGAAUUCCUGGUGUAGCGGUGAAAUGCGUAGAGAUCAGGAAGAACAUCGGUGGCGAAGGCGCUCUGCUGGACCAUAACUGACACUCAAGGACGAAAGCUAGGGGAGCGAAUGGG
rnacentral:rRNA from 1 species